GGAGGUAUGUGUUCAGAGGCAGAGCACAGGACUUGCAUUCCUGAGGUCUUGGGUUUUAUCUCCU
rnacentral:tRNA from 1 species